rnacentral:rRNA from 1 species
GACGAACGCUGGCGGCGUGCCUAAUACAUGCAAGUUGAGCGCUGAAGGUUGGUACUUGUACCGACUGGAUGAGCAGCGAACGGGUGAGUAACGCAUGGGGAAUCUGCCUUUGAGCGGGGGACAACAUUUGGAAACGAAUGCUAAUACCGCAUAAAAACUUUAAACACAAGUUUUAAGUUUGAAAGAUGCAAUUGCAUCACUCAAAGAUGAUCCCGCGUUGUAUUAGCUAGUUGGUGAGGUAAAGGCCCACCAAGGCGAUGAUACAUAGCCGACCUGAGAGGGUGAUCGGCCACAUUGGGACUGAGACACGGCCCAAACUCCUACGGGAGGCAGCAGUAGGGAAUCUUCGGCAAUGGACGAAAGUCUGACCGAGCAACGCCGCGUGAGUGAAGAAGGUUUUCGGAUCGUAAAACUCUGUUGGUAGAGAAGAACGUUGGUGAGAGUGGAAAGCUCAUCAAGUGACGGUAACUACCCAGAAAGGGACGGCUAACUACGUG